CUCACGACCCUCAAUGUCCCCGUCACGGUGUCGCACCAACUCCUCAUCUGGACUCCCGACUCGGCGAGAUAGCAAUCUUUGGACUCUGGCGUGGCUAGGACCCUCGCCGCCUCGCGCACGACCUCAUAGGCGACUAGGGCAACAAUAAAGACUCGUCGAAGAAUAGAUAAACUAGUCGACGAGGGGUCUUCUCUAUCUCAACGACAAGUGUCUUGUCUUCGUCAACGAGUGCUUCAAGGUUGCGAGAAAAUAUUUGAAUUUUGAACGUAAACAGUGUGAAGGUUGGGGAUUCGGAGGGAAGCUUCCGAGGGCUUGUUAUAUAUGUUCUUCUAGGCAUAUUUUGACAUAAAAAGAAAGUAAGAGAAGGGUGAGAGAAGGAGAGAAAAUCAUUGAGUGUAUAUCUUUGAUUUUCAUAGUGAAAUCUCUUGUCAAUUGCUCUCGUGGAUGUAAACUUUGUUGAAUCACGUAAUUUCUAGUGUCGUUGUGUAACGACCCGGCCCUUU